UCGAGCGGACAGAUGGGAGCUUGCUCCCUGAUGUUAGCGGCGGACGGGUGAGUAACACGUGGGUAACCUGCCUGUAAGACUGGGAUAACUCCGGGAAACCGGGGCUAAUACCGGAUGGUUGUUUGAACCGCAUGGUUCAAACAUAAAAGGUGGCUUCGGCUACCACUUACAGAUGGACCCGCGGCGCAUUAGCUAGUUGGUGAGGUAAUGGCUCACCAAGGCAACGAUGCGUAGCCGACCUGAGAGGGUGAUCGGCCACACUGGGACUGAGACACGGCCCAGACUCCUACGGGAGGCAGCAGUAGGGAAUCUUCCGCAAUGGACGAAAGUCUGACGGAGCAACGCCGCGUGAGUGAUGAAGGUUUUCGGAUCGUAAAGCUCUGUUGUUAGGGAAGAACAAGUACCGUUCGAAUAGGGCGGUACCUUGACGGUACCUAACCAGAAAGCCACGGCUAACUACGUGCCAGCAGCCGCGGUAAUACGUAGGUGGCAAGCGUUGUCCGGAAUUAUUGGGCGUAAAGGGCUCGCAGGCGGUUUCUUAAGUCUGAUGUGAAAGCCCCCGGCUCAACCGGGGAGGGUCAUUGGAAACUGGGGAACUUGAGUGCAGAAGAGGAGAGUGGAAUUCCACGUGUAGCGGUGAAAUGCGUAGAGAUGUGGAGGAACACCAGUGGCGAAGGCGACUCUCUGGUCUGUAACUGACGCUGAGGAGCGAAAGCGUGGGGAGCGAACAGGAUUAGAUACCCUGGUAGUCCACGCCGUAAACGAUGAGUGCUAAGUGUUAGGGGUUUCCGCCCCUUAGU
rnacentral:rRNA from 1 species